GCGUCGGUGGUAUAACGGUUAGCUUAUAGCUGACCUUCCAAGCAUGCUUGACCCGGGUUCGACUCCCGGCCGACGCA